rnacentral:rRNA from 1 species
CACGUAGGGCGCAAGCGUUGUCCGGAAUUAUUGGGCGUAAAGAGCUCGUAGGCGGUCUGUUGCGUCCGCUGUGAAAACUCGGGGCUUAACCCCGAGCCUGCAGUGGAUACGGGCAGACUAGAGGUAGGUAGGGGAGAAUGGAAUUCCCGGUGUAGCGGUGGAAUGCGCAGAUAUCAGGAAGAACACCGGUGGCGAAGGCGGCUCUCUGGGCCUUACCUGACGCUGAGGAGCGAAAGCGUGGGUAGCGAACAGG